UACAUGGGGUGCAAACGUUGCUCGGAAUUAUUGGGCGUAAAGCGCACGUAGGUGGUUUGUUAUGUCGGAUGUGAAAGCCCUCGGCUCAACUGAGGAAGUGCAUCCGAAACUGGCAAGCUAGAGUAUGUAAGAGGGUCGCGGAAUUCCCGGUGUAGAGGUGAAAUUCGUAGAUAUCGGGAGGAACACCGGUGGCGAAGGCGGCAUCCUGGACCGACACUGACGCUGAGGCGCGAAAGCUAGGGGAGCAAACGGG
rnacentral:rRNA from 1 species